ensembl:snoRNA
GGGCUGUGCUCAGAGCAGGGGGCCUGAAGAAAUGUCUCCUCUGUUUACAACACACCCGACAGGGAUCUGGGUUCCUUGUGAGCAGAGGCACGAAUCUCAUGGCCUUCCUGAGCAAACCCCAUACACGU